rnacentral:lncRNA from 1 species
GAGAGGUGUCGCCUCUGCCUGGUGCCUGCCUGUUACCUUCCCUGCCUGGGAAGCAGGGAUGGUGUGCCUGGUACCUGAGAGCAAGAAUUAGAUGGUAGUGUCCCACUCUGGGUUGUCCACUUAUCCUUCUAGCUAUUCUAUUCUAGAAGCCCCCCACCUUGAAGCCAGGGAUGUCUUAUUUCUCCCCAAAACCCCAGAGCCAGGCAUAAUGUCUGUUUCAUUGUCAGCCUUCCAUAAAUUAUUUUGUAUUUUGUGAAUGAAUCUAUCUCAGUAUACAAACUGCUCAAAGACUUGAGAGUUACACACCUCCCCAACUCUUCCUAACAAAAAUACCUUUUAUAUUACAAUUAUU